rnacentral:rRNA from 1 species
GACGAACGCUGGCGGCGUGCCUAAUACAUGCAAGUCGAGCGAGCGGAACCAACAGAUUUACUCCGGUAAUGACGUUGGGAAAGCGAGCGGCGGAUGGGUGAGUAACACGUGGGGAACCUGCCCCUAAGUCUGGGAUACCAUUUGGAAACAGGUGCUAAUACCGGAUACGUUCCCCGGUUGAAAGAUCGGGGAGGAAAGGUGGCGCAAGCUGCCGCUCUUGGAGGGGCUCGCGGCCUAUCAGCUAGUUGGCGGGGUAACGGCCCACCAAGGCUAUGACGGGUAGCUGGUCUGAGAGGACGACCAGCCACACGGGGACUGAGACACGGCCCCGACUCCUACGGGAGGCAGCAGUGGGGAAUUUUCCGCAAUGGGCGAAAGCCUGACGGAGUGACGCCGCGUGGGGGGACGAAGGCCUUCGGGUCGUAAACCCCUGUCAGUGGGAAAGAAGGGUGUCGGGGCGUAAUACCUCCGGCAUCUGACGGUACCUGCAGAGGAAAGCCCCGGGCCAACUCUGUG